rnacentral:rRNA from 1 species
UACGUAGGGGGCAAGCGUUGUUCGGAAUCACUGGGCGUAAAGGGAGUGUAGGCGGGGAGGUAAGUUAGAAGUUAAAUACACAGGCUCAACUUGUGGUCUGCUUUUAAUACUGCCUUUCUUGAGUAUGGGAGAGGGUGAUGGAAUUCCAGGUGUAGCGGUGGAAUGCGUAGAUAUCUGGAAGAACACCAGUUGCGAAGGCGGUCACCUGGCCCAAUACUGACGCUGAGGCUCGAAAGCUAGGGGAGCGAACAGGAUUAGAUACCCCCGUA